UACGUAGGGUGCAAGCGUUAAUCGGAAUUACUGGGCGUAAAGCGUGCGCAGGCGGUUCGUUGUGUCGGCGGUGAAAGCCCCGGGCUUAACCUGGGAAUGGCCGUCGAAACUGGCGAACUGGAGUGUGGCAGAGGGGGGUGGAAUUCCGCGUGUAGCAGUGAAAUGCGUAGAGAUGCGGAGGAACACCGAUGGCGAAGGCAGCCCCCCUGGGCUGACACUGACGCUCAGGCACGAAAGCGUGGGGAGCAAACAGG
rnacentral:rRNA from 1 species